GCAUAAGGGAGCUUGACUGCGAGACCUACAAGUCGAGCAGGGUCGAAAGACGGACUUAGUGAUCCGGUGGUUCCGCAUGGAAGGGCCAUCGCUCAACGGAUAAAAGCUACCCUGGGGAUAACAGGCUUAUCUCCCCCAAGAGUCCACAUCGACGGGGAGGUUUGGCACCUCGAUGUCGGCUCAUCGCAUCCUGGGGCUGGAGCAGGUCCCAAGGGUUUGGCUGUUCGCCAAUUAAAGCGGUACGUGAGCUGGGUUUAGAACGUCGUGAGACAGUUCGGUCCCUAUCUGCCGUGGGCGUUGGAAAUUUGAAGGGGGCUGCUCCUAGUACGAGAGGACCGGAGUGGACG
rnacentral:rRNA from 13 species